UACCCUGAUAUUAUUGAUGUGUGCGGAAAGGUUAGUGGAGAAUCUGUGGUGUUCUAUAUUAUAAGUGUGACUAACUGUUCCAUCACAUGAGCUCUCAAAGCCUAGAGAAUUUGUUCUGAAUUAUUCUGAGUUGUUUCUCUUUUAGAAUAACCAUUUCUCUCAUACAUGUUUCAUUUAUUCUAAAAGCUGCACAAACUCAGAAUCAGAAAAUAAAACUGAUUGUUUCAACUUUUAGGAUGCUUGCUGCACGCUUUUGUUCUUGUGCUGAUCUGAGAUGAGAAUCUAAUUCUCUUUAGCAUAUGGAAGGCAAAAGUAUUGGUCACUGCUCUUUUCUUAUUCGCACGAGGAUUAAUAUUGCUGAGCCAAUUAUGGGGAGGCAACCUUAAGAGAGUUUUUGUGGGCAUUACCUGAAAAAGAUCUCCGAUGUUGACAAUAAGAGCUUCUGGGUUGGGUUUGACAGCCACCCAUUUGGAGUCCUUCAUGAGCUGAAGUCCGCCCACUUCAUCUUGGUGAAGGAUUGUUAGGAAAUCACUGUCAGUGUGGGGCACCAGGCCGCAGAUCUCGGGCGAUAUCGGGCACGCCGGGUAGCGGUUUAACCGGAGGAAGCAGGUGCUUUCAUCACAGCUUUCUUCGAAGACCCCCUUCUGGUGUCCCAAGUUCUGCGCCAGAACCCCUGCCAGCAGCCUUGCUAGCCCUUGCAUUGAAGCUGCAUAUUCCUCCAUCACCCCCCUGAGAUCCCCAUUAGAGGCUCCCAUUGGAUUGCAAGUACCUCAGAGAGCUGAACUCUCCAUAACAGGCUUCCUCUGAGAUCUUUGCUAGGGGAAUGUGGAAAGCCUCAGACCAUGAGAAUUGUUUGGGAGAAGUCGCCCUGGGGCUCCCCCACCUGUAAGAGUUGUUCAAGAGCCCACAGGUGGCCUUCCUCUCAAAAGGUGCGUGAAACAGCUUCACCUGCUCCCUCCUCAUCCUCCUGAGGAGUUCAGGGCUUAUGCCAUGGUUGAUCACCUGGAAGAAUCCCCACUCUGAGGAGGCUCUGCAGAUGGCGGCAGCACAACCAGCCCUCUCCCUUUCAUCACCACUCCUUAAACCUCUGAGGUCUAUCAAUGGCAGCUCACAUUCCGCCAUGACCACCUCAGGGCUGAAGAUAUUGCUGCGCCGAGCAGCGCAGUCCUGGCCGGAGUGGACCAGAAGUUGGCCAUAGUCAUGGAGUAGAGGAGGAGUUGAUUCAACCAUGGCUGUUUUCGUGGUGAGUGAUAAAGAGAGUUGCAGA